GGAGUCUGGACCGUUUCUCAGUUCCAAUGUGGCCGUUCAACCUCUCAGUUCGGCUAAUGAUCGUCGGUUUGGUGGGCCGUUGCCCCACCAACUGCCUAAUCAUACGCGAGCCCAUCUGCGAUCGAUAAAUCUUUAACAACAGGGCCAUGUGACCCCGCUGCGUCAUGUGGUAUUAGCACCGGUUUCCCGGUGUUAUCCCUCUAUCGCAGGCAGGUUGCUCACGCGUUACUCACCCGUCCGCCACUAAGCCACCGGAUCUUCCCCCCGAAGGGUUCCGUCCCGGCGCUUCGUUCGACUUGAAUGUGUUAUGCACGCCGCCAGCGUUCAUC
rnacentral:rRNA from 1 species